rnacentral:misc_RNA from 1 species
GAUGAAGAACGUAGUGAAAUGCGAUAAGUAGUGUGAAUUGCAGAAUUCAGUGAAUCAUCGAAUCUUUGAACGCACAUUGCGCCCGCCAGUAUUCUGGCGGGCAUGCCUGUUCGAGCGUCAUUUCAACCCUCAAGCACAGCUUGGUGUUGGGACUCGCGUUAAUUCGCGUUCCUCAAAUUGAUUGGCGGUCACGUCGAGCUUCCAUAGCGUAGUAGUAAAACCCUCGUUACUGGUAAUCGUCGCGGCCACGCCGUUAAACCCCAACUUCUGAAUGUUGACCUCGGAUCAGGUAGGAAUACCCGCUGAACUUAAGCAUAUCAAUAAGCGGAGGA